UACGAAGGGUGCAAGCGUUAAUCGGAAUUACGGGGCGUAAAGGGUGCGUAGGCGGUUCGGUAAGUCUGUCGUGAAAUCCCCGGGCUCAACCUGGGAAUGGCGAUGGAUACUGGCGAGCUAGAGUGUGUCAGAGGAUGGUGGAAUUCCCGGUGUAGCGGUGAAAUGCGUAGAGAUCGGGAGGAACAUCAGUGGCGAAGGCGGCCAUCUGGGACAACACUGACGCUGAAGCACGAAAGCGUGGGGAGCAAACAGG
rnacentral:rRNA from 1 species